UACUUCCCCUUCGAAAAACACUCAUCGCGCUCUUCUCCUUCGUUAUACAUUCCCCACCAGCCCUAACCCUCAGCCCGGACUCCCUAUGCCUUCCAGCCGUGAAGCACUCGCCUCUGGAAGCUCUCACCUUAAGCAGCCCUCGCCUGUAGCAGCUCUCGCCGUCGAAGGUCUGGCAUCUCCUCGCGUCGCCAGAAGGUCAUUCGGAGUUGCUGGUCACGAUGACGUCUCUUCCCUCUUCGUCAAGCCCAGACCUCCUCCUCGUCGUCGUCGGUUUGUACUUGCUGCUGGCUCAUCUUCUCGUCUCUGGUAAGUUCUCAUCCCUAAUUCUUCAGUUGUAUUUUUUUCUUUCCUAUUUUCUUGGUGCGAACAAGAACGGGAACAGAGGCGCGAAACAAAUCUCCAAUCGUGAAUCCUUGCCGCCGUGUAGCCUCGCUCGUCAGAUACCAGUUGCGUGGUGCUUCCCCCUGCUGGUGGGUCCACCGCCGAUCUGCUCUCUCCUCCCUCUGGUCCCGAUCCUAGAGGACAAAAGGGGGUGAAGCAAAAUCUUGACUUGCAAGACGCACCGGUAUCUCUGUGAAAUAUUGUCGCCGCAACGCCAGGCAUGUUCUUCUUCUCUUUUAAUAUGCACAAGCCAAAAUAAUGUAAAAUCAUGCAGAUUGCUAAUAAUUCUCACCUUCUAGAAAGGUCAAGUAUGAAGUUUGCUCCCCUGAGGCAUUGAAUAAACUAUUGGUGAAUUUUGGAGUGACUCAACCAGCAACGGACACUGCCUAGUAUUAACAAUAUCAGCAAUAAAGUGAAUAAGUUACCAAAGAGUGGUGCCCUUCACUGACAUUAGGUCCAUCCGGAGGCAGUCGCCUGCACUUGGAUGGCAAUAUAUCAUUGUUGUUCUAUCAUCAGGACUUGCUUAUCCUCUACUGUACUUCUAUAGUGGAGGAGUCAAAGAAUUCCUUGCUACAAUUAAGCAACAUGUUCUUCUUCUGAGAUCCGCCGAAGAUGCAAAUGUGUUCCUUGUGAAUGAUUCUCAACAUACACUGCAGGUAUGUGUUAUUUGAUUUUUUUUGUUAAUGUUUAUAUGGGGUUGGCAACUGGAUUAUUGGUGCAUGAUAUCUAUAACUUUUAUCUACAUGGAGGAAUAUCU